UACGAAGGGUGCAAGCGUUACUCGGAAUUAUUGGGCGUAAAGCGCGCGCAGGCGGCCUUUUAAGUCUGAUGUGAAAGCCCACGGCUCAACCGUGGAAGGUCAUUGGAAACUGAAAGGCUUGAGUACAGAAGAGGAAAGCGGAAUUCCACGUGUAGCGGUGAAAUGCGUAGAGAUGUGGAGGAACACCAGUGGCGAAGGCGGCUUUCUGGUCUGUAACUGACGCUGAGGCGCGAAAGCGUGGGGAGCAAACAGG
rnacentral:rRNA from 1 species